GGUCCAGCUGUCCAUCAGGGACAUCACCGAAUCCACUAGUGACAUUACCGUGUGAUAGACUCCUCCCACUUCGCCUGUUCAACAUCAGUAUAGAUUUGCCUGUGUCAGUUAUAGGAAUGUAGCUUUUAGCCUCGAGAUCAAUACUGCCCGGGCAAGAGUUACCUGAUACAUCUCCAGGCGACACUCCUGUCCUUCCAAUGUUGAUCAGAAACCGAGCUAGAGACCUGCUUCCAGGGCGCGACGCGGACAAUAGCACACAAAGCGGGAAGUUGACACUGUUGCAGCGUCAGGGUCUC